UUUAUUUAUCUUUUUUGAGUUUACUUUGCAUACAGAAAAAUAGGACAAAUUUUCUGCUACCGUUAUGUGAAAACAAAUUAAUUUAUUUUGGUAAAUAUAUAUAGUCCCUCUCCUCCCGUCCCAAUACCUUGGCCUUGUCUACCGGAGUGCAUUAGAAAUGGUUAAUUAUGAGACCACGAAAGCACGCUCAAUAAUGAUGUCUUCUCUAAAAUUGGCAUUUGCUUGAAAGGGACUGUCUAUGUUUGAGUUCAAUUUCAACCACAGCAAAGUAAAAACCCAUGAUUAAGUUUAAUAACUGCCUCAAAAAGUAAAAGACAACGUCCUUCAUUUCUACUUCUAAUUGCAUAAUUAUGUUAUGAAAUUCUGUGUUCUUUCUUUUCUUUCUUAUCCACUUUCUUUAAGUAUUUAACACCAACUGAAAUUUGAAUUCUACACACCAAAAUUCUACAAUUCUGCCUGUCCACCUUCUUCCACCUUAAUAUUUUAGAAUACAAACUCUUUUACUGUUCUACAUCUACCUUAACCUAGGAAGCCAUAUUUUUUCUGAAUAGCUUGCUAUUAUAUGCAUAGAGCUUCUAGCUUGGCAGCAAUGUCUUCAAAUCAAAGAGAAAGUUGUAUUGUUCUUGCCCACCCAAUAGCCAAAUCGUCCAAGGUUUUACUAGGCAAAUAGCAGAAGAUUGCAGCCUUGGAUUCUUGCUGCUUCGAAGGUUUGUGCAACUACUUCAAGAGAUUCAUUUGUUCAGAAGCAGGAGAGCUACAGCAAGCAGCAGAUGUCUCCAUUUUGCUGCAACCAUCUUGUUGACUUAGUUGAGAUGCAACAAACUUAUCGAGUACUCGCCAAUCGGUCACUUGAUCCACUGCU